rnacentral:lncRNA from 1 species
UGGAAACUCUUAGUGAGUGAGUAUUGUUUUCAUGACAGUCUAAGUUAUUUGCAUAAGUUCAAUAUGAAUCUGUUUUCCUUAUAACAGACAAAAUUGGAAACUGGUUAUAUUACCAAGGCUUUGACUGGGGAAUGUCAUAUUCAAGAGAAACAUGCAGAAUCAGAUAUGACAAGACAGCUUUCAAAGAAUAAAGAUGGACUUUCUGGAAAAAUGCCACUUGGAAAUAUCAGCCUGGAACUUCGUUUAGAGAGUUCCCAGCAACUUUAUCAGCUAUUACUUGGACUUGAUCCUGAAUUCUUCCAGUUUCCUGUAAUAUCUGACUACAAAUAUCCAAACUAAUGUUUUUAAAAAAAUUUUCUGUCACUUUCAUUUGGAAUCAUUGAGAACUGAACCUGCCCUUUUUACUGAAGCCUUGCCAAGUGAAGCUGGUGAACAAGAUAUAAAAAGUGCUUCUUAUUAAAUACCUGGCUACUUGCUUACACAACACAGGCCUAACUUUGGGAGCCCACCUGCAUCACCAUUUUACUAAGAGACUGGUUCAAUGAGAUGGAACAACUACGCCCCUCAUCAAGAAGAUGCCACUCAAGAUUGAGGAACAAAAAUCAAAAGGGGGGAAUUGAUAUUGGCUGAACACAAGGUUGACAUAAGGGAAGCCAUAUUGUAGAAAAGAAACCAUAUUGUAACUUUGGAUGACCUCUGACUAACCCAGCUGGAUAAGCACCCUCCAGGAGAUCCAACUGCUCUGUAGAUUUUAUGAUCCCUGCUUGCAAAGGUA